GACGAACCGUGCGAACGUUGUUCGGAAUCACUGGGCUUAAAGGGCGCGUAGGCGGCUUGCCAAGUCCGGGGUGAAAGCCUCCAGCUUAACUGGAGAAGUGCCUUGGAUACUGGCGAGCUCGAGCGAGGCAGGGGUGAUGGGAACUUCCGGUGGAGCGGUGAAAUGCGUUGAUAUCGGAAGGAACGCCGGUGGCGAAAGCGCAUCACUGGUCCUCUUCUGACGCUGAGGCGCGAAAGCCAGGGGAGCAAACGGG
rnacentral:rRNA from 1 species